ACAGGAACUCCUGCGUUUUUUAGUCUAAUUAGAAAUCUAGACUAAAUUUAGAUGCAUAUUUUUAAAAGUACAUCUGAAGGAGUUCCUGUCGUGGCACAGUGGUUAACGAAUCCGACUAGGAACCAUGAGGUUGCGGGUUCGAUCCCUGGCCUUGCUCAGUGGGUUAAGGAUGCGGUGUUGCCGUGAGCUGAGGUGUAGGUCGCAGACUCGGCUCGGAUCCCAUGUUACUGUGGCUCUGGCGUAGGCUGGUGGCUACAGCUCCAAUUGGACGCCUAGCCUGGGAACCUCCAUAUGCCACGAGAGCCGCCCAAGAAAUGGCAAAAAGACAAAAAAAAAAAAAAAUGUACUAUGCAUAGUUGAAGAUUGGACUAAUCAAUAAUAAUAAUAAAGAAUUUAUUCUGUGCCUCAUAGGACACCUGCAAGUUAAGAGGAUAGUAAAAAUUGAAGUGAUCUUACUUUGUGGAAAACUGUAAUUUUAGGAAUUUCUGUAACCAGUUCUCUGGACAAUGACCCCACCUUUGAACAGACACAGCGGUAUUCUGUCUGUUCAGUAACCUCUGUGCCUAUCACAUUCCCUCGUUUUUUUGUUUUCGUUGCGGGGGGAGGGCAGAGGUGGGUGGUCUCAAGGAUCUUGGAAAUGGAGUGCGUGUAACCUAGAUUCCGAAUCUGCUCUCCCUGCUGAGUAGGAAAUUGAAAGCAAGUCUAUUCUCAAAAUAAAAAGCAGAAGUCAAAUAACUUGAUACAAAUGUAAAAUAGCCUUAAGAUGGAUAAGAUUUAACCAAAAGAAUCUGAAUUUCUCAAUCCUUUCUCCUAUACAAGGUCCCUGGCAUCUUAUUUUCAAGAGUCUGAAUUCACUUUCAGGUUCCAAUGCCAGUCUUCCAGUGCCAGUGCUGCUUCCCAGCCCACACAUCCCUCUCACCACUGCUGCAUCCUAAGGACAGAAGUGCACAGAUGGACUGGAUGGCUUUGAAUUUCAGUGCAGAUGACACUUUACAUUUUAAAUAACCAUCUAUAAAUAAGUUCACUCCGUAAAUAUAAAAGAACUUUCAAAAAACCUAAUCGCUUUCUAUUUUUGUUUAAACAAUGUAAUUGUUAAACAGGAUAUACAUACUGACAAAUAAUGAAGCGGUGCAACCAGCAAAGGUGCAGCUUUCGUACCAGCCUCUCCCAUCCCUCCACCCCGACCUCCACAGACACGCGUCCACACGCACGCAUA
rnacentral:lncRNA from 1 species